GACGAACGCUGGCGGCGUGCUUAACACAUGCAAGUCGAGCGGUAAGGCCCUUUCGGGGGUACACGAGCGGCGAACGGGUGAGUAACACGUGGGUGACCUGCCCUUAGCUCUGGGAUAAGCCUGGGAAACUGGGUCUAAUACCGGAUAUGACUCCAUGACGCAUGUUGUGGGGUGGAAAGCCUUGUGCGGCUAGGGAUGGGCCCGCGGCCUAUCAGCUUGUUGGUGGGGUGAUGGCCUACCAAGGCGACGACGGGUAGCCGGCCUGAGAGGGCGGCCGGCCACACUGGGACUGAGACACGGCCCAGACUCCUACGGGAGGCAGCAGUGGGGAAUCUUGCGCAAAUGGGACGAAAGCCUGACGCAAGCGACGCCGCGUGAGGGAUGACGGCCUGU
rnacentral:rRNA from 1 species